AAGGACCCGGCUUCUCGAUACAUCUAGCGUUUCUUGGCUUAUAGUUUCUCAGGCAGGCGAGAUAGCUCGGACAUUUUGUCUAAGUCAGAGUUUUUCUUUAUUUGGUGCAUGCAUAAUAAUAUAAAAGUUAAUUUGGGGUGCUGGCUAGCUUCUCAAUUCAAGUCUGUUUUGACUAAAAAGAAGCGCCCCUUGAUUCUUGGAUCAUACAUUACCCACUUGGCUAUUAAUUUGCAUGUGCUUGAUCUCUCUAACCAUGAUUUGCAUGUAGCAUGUCAAAUGGAGCCCUUAGACAUCCCUUGUUUACAGAAAAUGGGCUUGGCUAGGGAGGGUGACAACGGGUGGGAGGUUCCACCACCGGGACCGUCUUGUAUUCCCCCUCGUUCAUCUUGUGCCCGUUCCUCCACUGCUAGCGGUGACCCCGGCCCUUCGACCUCCGCUCCACCUCCUCCAACCCCAAGGGCUGAUGACUGGCACCAACUCCAGAUGCGAGUUCAGAAACUGGAGGCUCAGGUAACCAAUAUUGAUGCGAAUGUGCAUAAUAUGGCGCAGAAUUUGGCAGCGUUUAUGCACCAUGUGGGUGUUGAACCUCAAUUUGCACCUAACCCACCGCUGUUUUGACGACUUAAGGGGAGUUUCGUUGCCCUUUUUCUUAUUUUUACUGUUUAAUUGUCACAUUGAGGGCAAUGUGUGCUUUAAGUGUGGGGGGAGAUUUGAAUUUGACUGGUGUUUCUUUAAUUUGCUGCUUAUCUUACUGUUGUCUUGAUGAACAAAUAUGGCAACUCACUCUUCUAUUGCUAGUUGUGAUUUAUUUUAUGAAUUUAGUUUAGGUGGUAAGUAAAAGCAUGUUAUCUUGGUGAAUAUCAUGAGUUUAAUGACUUGGUGCAAAUUGUGGUUAACUUGUUUAGGCAAUAUAAAUAUUUUACUAGCAAUUAUUGUGUGAAUUGGGCGAUUGUUGAUCUCAGUUCUCCAUGUUAGGAGAUGACGUAGGCUAUGAUCUUUAAUUAUCUGAUAUUUUGGUGCUUUAAUUGUGAUUAAUAAAGGACUCUACUCCGCUAGUGUCGUCACCCAGUAACUGGGAGUUUUCACCACAAGUGUCGACUUUCGCGUCAAAAAGUGGCGAUAUCUAUGAGUAGUUAGUCCUGAAACUGUGAAAAGUUGAGUAACUGGGCUCUUUCAUCUAAAAAUGUCAGAGUUCACGUCAAAAGACUUGAAUAGCUUGGGACUGAGCAUUUAUCGAAAAUAAAUAAAUAAAUAAAAAUAAAAGAUUUCUCAAAAAAAAAAAGAAAAAAAAAUGUGUAAGCUUAUGAUCAUGUUGGCCUGCCGAUCCUUGUUCUUCAAUGUUGAGAUUUUGGUUGUCAGUUGACCCAAUUGCUAACUUUUGCUAGUUUAAUAUUUUGAUUUCCUAGAUGAGUUAGCCAUGAAUUGGACGAGUUUAUGAUUUCAGGAGCUAACCGGGAGAAAUAUGUCUUGACACUUAGCUACUAAAACUUGAUUUUGGGAUAAACGCAGCUUGGCAAUAAAUGAAAUGAGAGUUAGCCAUUGUUGAAUUUAGUUGUUCUCAUGCUUGAGGACAAGCAUGAUUUAAGUGUAGGGGGGAUUGAUAGGGUGUUAAUUAUUAGUAAUUUUAUUGUUAAUUCUCCUCUUUAUCCUUGCCAAAUAUUGCUUUAAUUGUCAAUAUAUAUUUAUAUUUGGCAUUUGGAUAUAAUUUCAGAAAGUGGAGCAGAAAAGUGCUAAAAAAGGGAACCUUCUUGAGAAAAUUUCUCCACACUUGAAAGCUUCUAAAAGCUUUACACAAUUGGUCCAGUGAAGACCAACGUCCAUUCCUUUGCUGAUGAAGAAGAAUUGAAUUUCAUAUCUCAAUUCAGCGGGGACCACGUAUGGAUUGAUUUAGAAAGUUUGUCCUGCUUUUGGAAGAUAUAUUCAUUGGCCAUGAUGGACAUGUGAUAAUUGGAUGUAACUUUCCAAUUGCUUCCUACAUAGCUAGUCCCUUAAGAGACUAGUGCUCCAAUAAAAUAAGAAGGCACGAGAUUAGUGGGCUCAUGGAAAAAAAGCUAUGAAGACUAAAUGCUUGCAUUUAUAUUAGACUAGUUUUCUCUCCAAGGGGGGAAAUUGGACGAGUGCAGAAGACAUUAGACUAGUUUAGACUAGUUUAGUUUUCUCUCCAAAGAAGCUCCGUAGGAGAAUAGGUAGUCUUUAGUUUUCUUUUGUUGUGUGGUAUGUAAUUUUUCUUCAAAGAGUCUACGGAGAUUCGAAGUUUUAUUCUAAAUUAUUAGCGAGUGUUUAUGUCUUUGAAUUCAAUUAAAUUGCGUGAAGAUUUUCUUAUGAGGCGUGGCUAAUUUUCUCCUCUAGUCAAGGAUCAACGCGAAGACGCAGUCCCAAAUAUCUGUAAGAUCUAAUUAAUUUUCAUGUGUUUCUUAAUUUAUUAAUAUUUGCAUGUUUUCUAUUUAAAUUUUCAU
rnacentral:lncRNA from 1 species